GCCAGAAUGGUGUAGUGGUUUGAGCUCUGGACUGACUCUGGAGACUAGGGUUCAAUUCCCCACUCAGCCA